rnacentral:ncRNA from 2 species
UGCCUUUGAAAAGACUGAAGUAACCGUUUCUUUCAUGAAGACGGUGCAAGGGAAUCCGGUGCAAUUCCGGAGCUGAGCCCUCAGCUGUAAUGCUUCGAUGUCACUUCUCCGAACAAGAGGUGAUGGGGUGGAUAGUCAAUCGCGAUGGUCACUGUAGAAGGGCGUAGUCCCCUAUGGGAAGGCCGACGAAGACCCGAUAAGAAGCUAAGCCAGAAGACCUGCUUUAGUAGAUUUGUUCUA